rnacentral:rRNA from 1 species
UACAGAGACCUCAAGCGUUAUCCGGAAUCAUUGGGCGUAAAGCGUACCGAUAGGUGGUUAUACAAGUCAGAAGUGAAAUUCCAAAGCUUAACUUUGGGUCUGUCUUUUGAAACUGUAUAACUAGAAGGGCAAAGAGGAAGCUGGAACAAACGGUGUAGUAGUGAAAUGCGUUGAUAUCGUUUGGAACACCAAUAGCGUAGGCAGGCUUCUGGGUGCCACUUGACACUGCUAGGACGAAAGCGUGGGGAGCGAACAGG